rnacentral:rRNA from 1 species
UACGGAGGGGGGCUAGCGUUGUUCGGAAUUACUGGGCGUAAAGCGCACGUAGGCGGCUUUGUAAGUUAGAGGUGAAAGCCCGGGGCUCAACUCCGGAAUUGCCUUUAAGACUGCAUCGCUAGAAUCGUGGAGAGGUGAGUGGAAUUCCGAGUGUAGAGGUGAAAUUCGUAGAUAUUCGGAAGAACACCAGUGGCGAAGGCGACUCACUGGACACGUAUUGACGCUGAGGAGCGAAAGCGUGGGGAGCAGAACGAGGUA